AUUGAACGCUGGCGGCAGGCUUAACACAUGCAAGUCGAGCGGGGUGAUGGUGCUUGCACUAUCACUUAGCGGCGGACGGGUGAGUAAUGCUUAGGAAUCUGCCUAUUAGUGGGGGACAACAUCUCGAAAGGGAUGCUAAUACCGCAUACGUCCUACGGGAGAAAGCAGGGGAUCACUUGUGACCUUGCGCACAUAGAUGAGCCUAAGUCGGAUUAGCUAGUUGGUGGGGUAAAGGCCUACCAAGGCGACGAUCUGUAGCGGGUCUGAGAGGAUGAUCCGCCGCACUGGGACUGAGACACGGCCCAGGCGCCUACGGGAGGCAGCAGUGGGGAAUAUUGGACAAUGGGGGGAACCCUGAUCCAGCCAUGCCGCGUGUGUGAAGAAGGCCUUAUGGUUGUAAGGCACUUUAAGCGAGGAGGAGGCUCUUUUGGUUAAUACCCAAGAUGAGUGGACGUUACUCGCAGAAUAAGCACCGGCUAACUCUGUGCCAGCCGCCGCGGUAA
rnacentral:rRNA from 1 species